AGAGUUUGAUCAUGGCUCAGGAUGAACGCUAGCUACAGGCUUAACACAUGCAAGUCGAGGGGCAGCAUGGAGGUUGCUUGCAACUUCCGAUGGCGACCGGCGCACGGGUGAGUAACACGUAUCCAACCUUCCCCGCGGUAGGGAACAGCCCGCUGAAAGGCGGAUUAAUGCCCUAUGGUCUCCUUUGCAGGCAUCUAAGGAGGAGUAAAGAUUGAUCGCCGCGGGAUGGGGAUGCGCCCGAUUAGGCAGCAGGCGGGGUGACGGCCCACCUGGCCAUCGAUCGGUAGGGGUUCUGAGAGGAAGGUCCCCCACACUGGUACUGAGACACGGACCAGACUCCUACGGGAGGCAGCAGUGAGGAAUAUUGGUCAAUGGGCGGAAGCCUGAACCAGCCAAGUAGCGUGCAGGAUGACGGCCCUACGGGUUGUAAACUGCUUUUAUGCGGGGAUAAAUUGCGGGACGUGUCCCGCUUUGCAGGUACCGCAUGAAUAAGGACCGGCUAAUUCCGUGCCAGCAGCCGCGGUAAUACGGAAGGUCCGGGCGUUAUCCGGAUUUAUUGGGUUUAAAGGGAGCGCAGGCGGGAGCUUAAGCGUGACGUGAAAUGCCGGGGCCCAACCCCGGGAGUGCGUCGCGAACUGGGUUCCUUGAGUUGCGGCGAUGUGCGCGGAAUUCGUGGUGUAGCGGUGAAAUGCUUAGAUAUCACGAAGAACCCCGAUUGCGAAGGCAGCGCGCAAGCCGUGGACUGACGCUGAGGCUCGAAGGUGCGGGUAUCGAACAGGAUUAGAUACCCUGGUAGUCCGCACGGUAAACGAUGGACGCCCGCUGUUGUGCAUAUAUUGCUCAGCGGCCAAGCGAAAGCGUUAAGCGUCCCACCUGGGGAGUACGCCGGCAACGGUGAAACUCAAAGGAAUUGACGGGGGCCCGCACAAGCGGAGGAACAUGUGGUUUAAUUCGAUGAUACGCGAGGAACCUUACCCGGGCUUGAACUGCAGAUGAAUGCGGUGGAGACACCAAAGUCCUUCGGGACAUCUGUGGAGGUGCUGCAUGGUUGUCGUCAGCUCGUGCCGUGAGGUGUCGGCUUAAGUGCCAUAACGAGCGCAACCCCUGCCGCCAGUUGCCAUCGCGUGAUGGCGGGCACUCUGGCGGGACUGCCACCGCAAGGUGUGAGGAAGGUGGGGAUGACGUCAAAUCAGCACGGCCCUUACGUCCGGGGCUACACACGUGUUACAAUGGCCGGCACAGAGAGUCGGCGUGCCGCAAGGCGCGUCCAAUCAUGAAAUCCGGUCUCAGUUCGGAUUGGGGUCUGCAACCCGACCCCAUGAAGCUGGAUUCGCUAGUAAUCGCGCAUCAGCCAUGGCGCGGUGAAUACGUCCCCGGGCCUUGUACACACCGCCCGUCAAGCCAUGAAAGCCUGGGGCGCCUGAAGUCCGUGACCGCGAGGGUCGGCCUAGGGUGAAACAGGUGAUUGGGGWUAAGUCGUAACAAGGUAACC
rnacentral:rRNA from 1 species